rnacentral:rRNA from 1 species
UACGUAGGGGGCAAGCGUUAUCCGGAUUUACUGGGUGUAAAGGGAGCGUAGACGGCGCGGCAAGUCUGAAGUGAAAGGCAGGGGCUUAACCCCUGAACUGCUUUUGAAACUGCCAGGCUAGAGUGUCGGAGAGGUAAGUGGAAUUCCUAGUGUAGCGGUGAAAUGCGUAGAUAUUAGGAGGAACACCAGUGGCGAAGGCGGCUUACUGGACGAUGACUGACGCUGAGGCUCGAAAGCGUGGGGAGCAAACAGG